rnacentral:rRNA from 1 species
CCUACGGGGGGCAGCAGUGGGGAAUUUUGGACAAUGGGGGCAACCCUGAUCCAGCCAUUCCGCGUGAGUGAAGAAGGCCUUCGGGUUGUAAAGCUCUUUUGUCCGGAGCGAAACGGGCGGCCCUAAUACGGUCGUCUACUGACGGUACCGGAAGAAUAAGCACCGGCUAACUACGUGCCAGCAGCCGCGGUAAUACGUAGGGUGCGAGUGGUAAUCGAAAUUACUGGGGGUGAAUUUUGCGCAGGGAUGUGAAAGCCCCGGGCUCAACCUGGGAAUGGCAUUUGGGACUGCAAGGCUGGAGUGUGGCAGAGGGGACUAGAAUUCCUGGUGUAGCAGUGAAAUGCGUAGAUAUCAGGAGGAAUACCGAUGGCGAAGGCAGGUCCCUGGGUUAACACUGACGCUCAUGCACGAAAGCGUGGGGAGCAAACAGGAUUAGAUACCCUAGUAGUC